UGAAGUAAGUAAGGGCGUACGGUGAAUGCCUUGGUGCCAACAGGCGAAGAAGGACGCGGCAAGCUGCGAAAAACCUCGGGAAGCUGCAAGCAAGCGAUGAUCCGGGGGUGUCCGAAUGGGGUAACCUGACUGGGGUAAUACCUGGUCGUUCAUACCUGAAUACAUAGGGUAUGAAACGCAAUACCCGCUGAAGUGAAACAUCUCAGUAAGCGGAGGAAAAGAAAGAGAAAUCGAUUCCGUAAGUAGUGGCGAGCGAAAGCGGAUGGAGCCCAAACCGAAGGUACUCCUUCGGGGUUGUAGGACCACGACAUAUUCGACCAUAGUGGAUAGUAGAACAGUCUGGAAAGGCUGGCCAUAGAAGGUGAAAGCCCUGUAGACGAAAUCCAGAGUGGGAAUUAGUGGUAUCCUGAGUAAUACAUCACACGUGGAACGAUGUAUGAAUCAGCGCGGACCACCGCGCAAGGCUAAAUACUAGUUGGCGACCGAUAGUGAACAAGUACCGCGAGGGAAAGGUGAAAAGAACCGCUGUGAGCGGAGUGAAAUAGAACCUGAAACCGUAUGUCUACAAAGUGUCAGAGCAGAGCAAUCUGCGAUGGCGUGCCUUUUGUUUAAUGAGUCUGCGAGUCAGUGUUUGUGGCAAGACUAAGGGCUUCCGGCCCGGAGUCGCAGCGAAAGCAAGUCCGAAUAGGGCGCAUUAAGUCGCAGGUACUGGACCCGAAGCGGAGGUGACCUACCCUUGGCCAGGUUGAAGCAUGGGUAAAACCAUGUGGAGGACCGAACAGGUGAACGUUGAAAAGUUCUCUGAUGAGCUGAGGGUAGGAGUGAAAGGCUAAUCAAACCCCGUGAUAGCUGGUUCUCUUCGAAAUGCAUUUAGGUGCAGCGUCACGUGCUGAUGCGCGGGGGUAGAGCACUGACAAGGCUAGGGGGCACACCCGCUUACCAAACCUUAUCAAACUCCGAAUACCGUGCAAUGGAACGUGGCAGUGAGACAGUGGGGGAUAAGCUUCAUUGUCGAGAGGGAAACAACCCAGACCAGCAGCUAAGGUGCCUAAAUAACGCUGAGUGGAAAGGAUGUGGGAUUACACAGACAGUGAGGAUGUUGGCUUAGAAGCAGCCACCAUUUAAAAAAUGCGUAAUAGCUUACUCAUCGAGUGAUCCUGCGCCGAAAAUGAUUGGCGAUCAAGCGUUAUACCGAAGCUCUGGACUUUGCCGCAAGGCAGAGUGGUAGAAGAGCGUUGCAUGCGCAUUGAAGGGUGAUGGCGACUGACCCUGGAGCGCAUGCAAGUGAGUAUGCAGACAUGAGUAACGUAAAGCCGGGUGAAAUCCCCGGCCGCCGUAAACCCGAGGUUUCCAGGGCAACGUGUUUCGUCCCUGGGUUAGCCGGGACCUAAGCCGAGGCCGAGAGGCGUAGGCGAUGGAUAUCAGGUUAAUAAUCCUGAGCUCGCGACCCUUAAACUGGGGGGACGCAUGAGAAGAGAUGACCAGGUUAUUGAAUUCCGAGCUGGGUCCACGGACCCAGCGCAUCAUCAAAUCGAGUGCCAAGAAAAGCCCCAGCGUAUGCUAAGCGACCCGUACCGCAAACCGACACAGGUGGGUGGGUAGAAUAUACCAAGGCGUAAGAGUGAAACCUGGUUAAGGAACUCGGCAAAUUAGCCCCGUAACUUCGGAAGAAGGGGUGCCUGCAGCGAUGCAGGCCGCAGAGAAAUGGCCCAACCGACUGUUUAUCAAAAACACAGCACUCUGCAAAGACGCAAGUCGAAGUAUAGGGUGUGACACGUGACCAAUGCCGAAAGAUUAAGGCAAGGGGUUAGCCGCAAGGCGAAGCUCUGAACCCAAGUCCCGGUGAAUGUCGGCCGUAACUAUAACGGUCCUAAGGUAGCGAAAUUCCUUGUCGGGUAAGUUCCGACCUGCACGAAUCGUGAAACGAGUUGGGCACUGUCUCAACCAGGCGCUCAGUGAAAUUGUAGUGGCGGUGAAGAUGCCGCCUACCCGCAGAAGGACGGAAAGACCCUAUAGACCUUAACUGUAAGCUGUCAUUGUUUCUUCGGUUUUAAUGCUCAGAGUAAGUGGGAGACGCUGAAGAUGCCCUUUAGGGGGCAUCCGAGUCAUCAAUGAGACACCACCCUUUGAAACUGGAGGAUCUAACCCUGAGCCGUGAAUCCGGCCAGAGGACCGUGUCAGCCGGUCAGUUUUACUGGGGCGGUAUCCUCCCAAAGAGUAACGGAGGAGCGCGAAGGUGGGCUCAGCCCGGUUGGCAACCGGGUGUCGAGUGCAUGGGCAUAAGCCCGCCUAACUGUGAGACCAACAAGUCGAGCAGAUGCGAAAGCAGGCCCAAGUGAUCCGGCGGUAGAAAGUGGAAUUGCCGUCGCUCAACGGAUAAAAGGUACCUUAGGGAUAACAGGCUGAUCACGCCCAAGAGUUCAUAUCGACGGCGUGGUUUGGCACCUCGAUGUCGGCUCGUCGCAUCCUGGGGCUGGAGAAGGUCCCAAGGGUCCGGCUGUUCGCCGGUUAAAGCGGCACGCGAGCUGGGUUCAGAACGUCGCGAGACAGUUCGGUCCUCUAUCCUCUGUGGGCGUUGGAAAAUUGAGGGGUUCAGACCUUAGUACGAGAGGACCGGGUCUGACGCACCACUGGUGCAUCGGUUGUACUGUCAAGUGCAUGGCCGAGUAGCUAAGUGCGGAAGGGAUAAGCGCUGAAAGCAUCUAAGCGCCAAGCCCAUCCCAAGAUGAGUUUUCCCUAUAGGUUCGUGGAAGACCACCACGUCGAUAGGUCGCAGGUGUAAGUGCAGCAAUGUAUUGAGCCAAGCGAUACUAAUCACCGAUAGACUUCAUCAU
rnacentral:rRNA from 2 species